CCUGAGAAACGGCUACCACAUCCAAGGAAGGCAGCAGGCGCGCAAAUUACCCACUCCCGGCACGGGGAGGUAGUGACGAAAAAUAACGAUACGGGACUCAUCCGAGGCCCCGUAAUCGGAAUGAGUACACUUUAAAUCCUUUAACAAGGACCAUUGGAGGGCAAGCCUGGUGCCAGCAGCCGCGGUAAUUCCAGCUCCAAUAGCGUAUAUUAAAGUUGUUGCGGUUAAAAAGCUCGUAGUUGAAUCUGUGUGCCACACUGUCGGUUCACCGCUCGCGGUGUUCAACUGAUAUGUCUGUGGGACGUCCUGCCGGUGGGCGCAGCCCCUCAAAAGGCGGCCCAACUCAAAAUCCUACCACGGUGCUCUUCACCGAGUGUCGAGGUGGGCCGGUACGUUUACUUUGAACAAAUUAGAGUGCUUAAAGCAGGCUCAUUCGCCUGAAUAUUCUGUGCAUGGAAUAAUGGAAUAGGACCUCGGUUCUAUUUUGUUGGUUUUCGGAACUCCGAGGUAAUGAUUAAUAGGGACAACUGGGGGCAUUCGUAUUGCGACGUUAGAGGUGAAAUUCUUGGAUCGUCGCAAGACGGACAGAAGCGAAAGCAUUUGCCAAAUGUGUUUUCAUCAAUCAAGAACGAAAGUUAGAGGUUCGAAGGCGAUUAGAUACCGCCCUAGUUCUAACCAUAAACGAUGCCAGCUAGCGAUCCGCCGAAGUUCCUCCGAUGACUCGGCGGGCAGCUUCCGGGAAACCAAAGCUUUUGGGUUCCGGGGGAAGUAUGGUUGCAAAGCUGAAACUUAAAGGAAUUGACGGAAGGGCACCACCAGGAGUGGAGCCUGCGGCUUAAUUUGACUCAACACGGGAAACCUCACCAGGCCCGGACACCGGAAGGAUUGACAGAUUGAGAGCUCUUUCUUGAUUCGGUGGGUGGUGGUGCAUGGCCGUUCUUAGUUGGUGGAGCGAUUUGUCUGGUUAAUUCCGAUAACGAACGAGACUCUAGCCUGCUAAAUAGGCGUACUUUCCGGUAUCUCGAAGGCCCGCCGGCUCGGCUUCGGUCGUUGUCGUGUGUGGUUUUUACUACCGGCGUACACAUAUAUCUUCUUAGAGGGACAGGUGGCAUUUAGUCGCACGAAAUUGAGCAAUAACAGGUCUGUGAUGC
rnacentral:rRNA from 1 species